ACUUGGUGAUGUGGGCAUUUUCACAAGAGGUACUUAAACUGCUCCUAUGUAUCAAAAAAUUAUUCCCCAUCCAAUUGUGAGAAACUAGUGAUUCCCUUCCUUAGUU